GACGAACGCUGGCGGCGUGCUUAACACAUGCAAGUCGAACGGAAAGGCCCUGCUUUUGUGGGGUGCUCGAGUGGCGAACGGGUGAGUAACACGUGAGUAACCUGCCCUUGACUUUGGGAUAACUUCAGGAAACUGGGGCUACUACCGGAUAGGAGCUCCUGCUGCAUGGUGGGGGUUGGAAAGUUUCGGCGGUUGGGGAUGGACUCGCGGCUUAUCAGCUUGUUGGUGGGGUAGUGGCUUACCAAGGCUUUGACGGGUAGCCGGCCUGAGAGGGUGACCGGCCACAUUGGGACUGAGAUACGGCCCAGACUCCUACGGGAGGCAGAAGUGGGGAAUAUUGCACAAUGGGCGGAAGCCUGAUGCAGCAACGCCGCGUGCGGGAUGACGGCCUUCGGGUUGUAAACCGCUUUCGCCUGUGACGAAGCGUGAGUGACGGUAAUGGGUAAAGAAGCACCGGCUAACUACGUG
rnacentral:rRNA from 1 species